GACGAACGCUGGCGGCGUGCUUAACACAUGCAAGUCGAACGGAAAGGCCCUGCUUUUGUGGUGUGCUCGAGUGGCGAACGGGGGAGUAACACGUGAGUAACCUGCCCUUGACUUUGGGAUAACUUCAGGAAACUGGGGCUAAUACCGUAUAGGAGCUCCUGCUGCAUGGUGGGGGUUGGAAAGUUUCGGCGGUUGGGGAUGGACGCGCGGCUUAUCAGCUUGUUGGUGGGGUAGUGGCUUACCAAGGCUUUGACGGGUAGCCGGCAUGGGAGGGUGACCGGGGACAUUGGGACUGAGAGACGGCCCAGAGUCGUAUGGGAGGCAGCGGUGGGGAAUAUUGCCCAAUGGGCGGAAGUCGGAUGCAGCGACGCUGCGUGCGGGAUGACGGCUUUCGGGUUGAAAAAAGCUGUCGGCUGUGACGAAGCGGGAGUGACGGUACUGGGUGAAGAAGCACCGGCUAACUACGUG
rnacentral:rRNA from 1 species